AGCUGAUUGUAUGCCGUGCCCCUAAAGAGAUUUCCACAAAGGAAACUGUUAAAAGAGCCGACUUUUACGGUCGCUUCUGACCUAGCAUUGUUGCUGUCGCUGUCGCGGCUGUCACCAUGGGUAAGUACGGCAAGGCUCGGUGCGCUACAUUUCGUUGUGUUAUGCAGCGAGAAAAGGCCUUAAUCGCGCAGGCAGGGGAAAUGCUCUGCAGGCUACAUUUGGUCCUGACCAUAGCCCAACUUACACUGGCAUUCUUUAACCAGAGGUCUGCGGCCGCUGUGCAUUCAUUCGUGCUUGUGCGUCGUCGUCGUCGUCGUCGUCUACUUUGCCAUGCGCUUUGUGCUUUCCCGUUUGCCGGUGGACGUUUUUUGUCCGUCCUGCGUCAGCCGCCACUCGUCGGUAAAAGUCUGCUGUUUCAGGAGCGGCACUAGCAACAGUAGCCUGGUGUGGUACAAACGCUCGAAGUUGGCAUCUCAACAAAAAAAAGUCUUUUUUUCUUUGUCCUUAUUCUGUCUCUUUUGGCCGCAACUAUCGUCUGUGGAAACGACAAACCAAACCCCUCAGCGGACGGUCAUUUGUCUGAGUGUGACGGGUCAGUUUUGCUGGUAAAACGGAUGUCUCCGCCAGCACGUAGACUUCAUUUGAGUAAGCGGCUUGCCCUACUCAUGCCGUGACCAGCUUCUUGCUCAUAUCCCGCACAUGGGACGGCACAACCUAGCCUCAGGGAUAUUUCCUAUUGAAAAGAUUGGCGAGAUAGUUGGGUGCGUGCGUUAAUGUACGCAAGAAUGCAUGUGCCUAUCAAUUUGUUCAAGAGAAUGUUUUUGUUUCAGCUGAUUUAUGCGAGUGUGUGUGGGGACCGAAUAGCGCGUAGGAAAAUAGAGCCUAGGUACAGUAAAUAGAUAGAUAACUGACACCGUCUGAAAGACGAUGAAGAAGAAGAAAUAUUGUCGUAAUUCAUCGAAAUUGAAAAAUAGAGCACACGUAUAUGGGACUGUAAUCCUAAUUAUAAGAGGUGCGGGAUAGGAUGGAUAUGGCUAAUUUUCUUUAAAAAUUGUCAGAAAUCGUUUGCUAUUUUCGGAGGCAUCAAUGCCUAUUAAUUUACAAAUCAAAGAAUCGGUAUCCGAGUUGUGAUCAUAGUUUUGAUGUCUAAAAACGUAGUGGUAACUGGCUAAACCAACGUUGCACGAAACUAUGAAUGAUAGAUUAAAAAUGCCGUUAAACAGUGUGAGCGGUGAGCUAAAUAGUCAAUAAGUACUAUUUUCUUCUUAUUAUUAUGCCAUGUAGGAGCGGGAUUCCAGAAUUUUAAGUUCAAAAGUCCAGUUAUAUUUGACUGCUCAGGGAUUUCACCAGUGAAAAUUAGCAAACGUUCUUUUGCCGAAUGGAAAUUGUUGUACCCCUUGUGAAAAGAACGUCUUUUUUUUCAGAAUAAACAAGUACGAUGCAAUUGAGAAAUUUGUCUUUGUAGUCACAAACAAUUAAAGCCAUCCAAUAUUCCGUGACCACGAACACUGUUUAGUUUACCGUACCCUUGCAGUCACACUUACCUUUCUUGUCCAUCAUUUUUUCGUAGUAGUGAUUACUAUUACAUUAAACAAUCGAAGCUAAUUCCUUCUGCUGAAUAUAUCCUUCGAGCAGAAUGAUGCCGAGACAAUAUGCAUUUAAGCUCUAAUUAACAUGUUGACCUUUCCGUGCUUCCCUUAGUACCGCUAAUGCUGUCGCCAUGUAAUAUCGCCAUAGCUAUAUUGGUCUUUUGGCGUUACGGACCGCGUACAAAAAUCGCUGGAGUGUGAAACAUGCCACCUUUGUCCCCCGUGGAAUUUAUUCUCGCUGGGGAUUGCGCCCCACUCUAAAGACGAGUUCUAGGCGGAUGGGUGAACCACGGACUAUACCCAAGGGUGCCGUAAACUUUCCCACACAAAAAAGUGGCCUCCUAAAGAGUACUGCGGUGCGCAUGGAUUGCUUCUGCUCCCUAUGGUAGUUCUUUAUUAAAUUUCAUCUGUUCCCUUAUGUUUCGAGAUUUUUUGGGCUAAUUACAGGUCGCAUGAAGGACAAAGGCUAUUUUUAGAGGUUAUGAGUUUUUUAAAUACCGCGAGCUGUUUCUCGAGCUCCUGUGUCUGGCGGAACACGAGAGAGACAGGACUGAGCGAUUGCGGAUUACGAAAAGCCAUAUGGUCAUAGGUGCGUCAGUUGAGCGGGAUGCAAGGGAAAUUUGGAUGCUCCCAUAUGGACGUUUCAGUCAUCAAGUUACUUGCCCAGUGCAAAAGAAACAACUUUAGUACGCACUGGAUUAAGCACAACAAGUUCAUAUUACUUUUGCUCGAGGAAGUCAUAAUCGGCGCCAAUGACUUCAACUUCAAUGUAAGGACUAACAAUACCCCGGCCGGACUUCAUCAGAUGACGGGCUCCGAUGAUCUAAAAUACAUAAAAAAAAGACUACAAUUGACCCCCACCAGCACUGUUGUACUAAUCACUUUGCGACAACAUGUUAAUUAAGCUGGUUACUGUAGACUGGCUGGACGCUUCCUGCAAUUGCCAGAUCUUUUCCGUGGAAAUAAAAUGUGCGCUAAAUCGGAAGGCUCUUCCGAUCGUAUGGGUCGAAAUUGUCCUGAAACAUGUACUCUGGCCGAAGCACAUAGCCGCAUCGUCCAUUCUGAAUAAAUCGAGCCUCAUUUAAUUGCAUCGGUCGAUCUGGAAUUGAAAAACACAUUUAAGCGCCACCAUUUGUACGCCAGCAUUCCACAAUCGCACAGGGUCGUAAUUGGAAGAAUCGAUUCGACUGCCCUUCGGAUACACUCGA